rnacentral:rRNA from 1 species
GAUGAACGCUGGCGGCGUGCUUAACACAUGCAAGUCGAACGGAAAGGCCCAAGCUUGCUUGGGUACUCGAGUGGCGAACGGGUGAGUAACACGUGGGUGAUCUGCCCUGCACUUCGGGAUAAGCCUGGGAAACUGGGUCUAAUACCGGAUAGGACCACAUUUUGGAUGGUGUGGUGGAAAGUUUUUCGGUGUGGGAUGAGCUCGCGGCCUAUCAGCUUGUUGGUGGGGUAAUGGCCUACCAAGGCGUCGACGGGUAGCCGGCCGGAGAGGGUGGACGGCCACAUUGGGACUGAGAUACGGCCCAGACUCCUACGGGAGGCAGCAGUGGGGAAUAUUGCACAAUGGGCGCAAGCCUGAUGCAGCGACGCCGCGUGGGGGAUGACGGCCUUCGGGUUGUAAACUCCUUUCGCUAGGGACGAAACGUUAUGUGACGGUACCUGGAGAAGAAGCACCGGCUAACUACGUG